rnacentral:rRNA from 1 species
ACUCCGAAACUGCAUUCGAUACUGCCGUGCUUGAGGACUGGAGAGGAGACUGGAAUUUACGGUGUAGCGGUGAAAUGCGUAGAUAUCGUAAGGAAGACCAGUGGCGAAGGCGGGUCUCUGGACAGUUCCUGACGCUGAGGCACGAAGGCCAGGGGAGCAAACGGGAUUAGAUACCCCGGUAGUCCUGGCAGUAAACGGUGCACGUUUGGUGUGGGAGGAUUCGACCCCUUCUGCGCCGGAGCUGACGCGUUAAACGUGCCGCCUGGGGAGUACGGUCGCAAGAUUAAAACUCAAAGGAAUUGACGGGGGCCCGCACAAGCGGCGGAGCAUGUUGCUUAAUUCGAGGCAACGCGAAGAGCCUUACCUAGGUUUGACAUGUACGGAAAAGCCAUAGAGAUAUGGUGUCCUUCGG